rnacentral:rRNA from 1 species
UGGGGAAUAUUGCACAAUGGGCGAAAGCCUGAUGCAGCAACGCCGCGUGAGUGAUGAAGGCCUUCGGGUUGUAAAGCUCUGUCUUCUGGGACGAUAAUGACGGUACCAGAGGAGGAAGCCACGGCUAACUACGUGCCAGCAGCCGCGGUAAUACGUAGGUGGCAAGCGUUGUCCGGAUUUACUGGGCGUCAAGGAUGCGUAGGCGGAUACUUAAGUCAGAUGUGAAAAUCCCGGGCUUAACUUGGGAACUGCAUUUGAAACUGGGUAUCGAGAGUGCGGGAGAGGAAAGUGGAAUUCCUAGUGUAGCGGUGAAAUGCGUAGAGAUUAGGAAGAACACCAGUGGCGAAGGCGACUUUCUGGACCGUAACUGACGCUGAGGCAUGAAAGCGUGGGGAGCAAACA